AACUUUUUUUGAAGAACAGCAUUUGAUUCGUAAGAGCAUCUUGUAAAGCCAUUCUUUUGGUUUCGGUGUUACAUCUGGGUUCGACUGUCUUCAUUUCUACCAGGAAAACACCAUCUCUGCCAUAGAAUGUGGUUGCGAGUGACUUAGAUAACAACCAUCGUUCCUGGAGAAUUUACUGGACACUUUGACAUCAUGUUAUUUCAUCACAACUCACAAAAACACAACCAAAUAGAUGCUACUGUUGCCAUGUUUCAGCGUCCUUAUAAGAAGAGAAAAAGACACCAGGCCACGUGAGGACACAGAGAGAAGGCAUUCCUCUGCAGGACAAACCAGCCCUGCCGGCACCUUGAUCUUGGACUUCCAGCCUCCAGAACUGUGAGAAAAUUAAUGUCUGUUGUUUAAGCUACCCAGUCUGUGGUAUUUUGUUAUGGCAGCCCAGGCAGACUAAUAUAGAUUUCUUUAAAUUUACCUACUGUAAGUACAUAGUUCAAUGAUAUUUAGUAAAUUUAUCCCAUUUUAGAAUAUUUAGAAUGUUCUAAAAUCCCAUUUUAGAACAAUUUUCAUCACCAGAAAAUUUCCCUUCAGCUGGGUUGCAGUCAAGCCACUCCCACUCCCAGCCCCAGGCAACCACUGACCUG